rnacentral:rRNA from 1 species
AUUGAACGCUGGCGGCAUGCCUUACACAUGCAAGUCGAACGGCAGCACGGGCUUCGGCCUGGUGGCGAGUGGCGAACGGGUGAGUAAUGCAUCGGAACGUACCCAGUCGUGGGGGAUAACGUAGCGAAAGUUACGCUAAUACCGCAUACGACCUGAGGGUGAAAGUGGGGGAUCGCAAGGCCUCACGCGAUUGGAGCGGCCGAUGCCGGAUUAGCUAGUUGGUGGGGUAAGAGCCCACCAAGGCGACGAUCCGUAGCGGGUCUGAGAGGAUGAUCCGCCACACUGGGACUGAGACACGGCCCAGACUCCUACGGGAGGCAGCAGUGGGGAAUUUUGGACAAUGGGGGCAACCCUGAUCCAGCCAUGCCGCGUGGGUGAAGAAGGCCUUCGGGUUGUAAAGCCCUUUCGGGCGGAAAGAAAUCGCCCUCUUUAACAGAGGGGGUGGAUGACGGUACCGCAAGAAGAAGCACCGGCUAACUAA